rnacentral:rRNA from 1 species
UACGGAGGGAGCUGGCGUUGUUCGGAAUUACUGGGCGUAAAGCGCGCGUAGGCGGCUUUGUAAGUUAGAGGUGAAAGCCCGGGGCUCAACCCCGGAACAGCCUUUAAGACUGCAUCGCUAGAAUCCGGGAGAGGUGAGUGGAAUUCCGAGUGUAGAGGUGAAAUUCGUAGAUAUUCGGAGGAACACCAGUGGCGAAGGCGGCUCACUGGAUCGGUACUGACGCUGAGGUGCGAAAGCGUGGGGAGCAAACAGG